AGCUCCAAUAGCGUAUAUUAAAGUUGUUGCAGUUAAAAAGCUCGUAGUUGGAUUUCUGUCGAGAGUCCGGGUCGGCCUUAACGGGUUGCACUGUUGUGACGUCUCGUCGUUUCGGGGGGAAUGGGCUCGCUAUUAGGUUAGUGUGUUCGGGAACCCCGUCGUUUACUGUGAAAAAUUAGAGUGUUCAAAGCAGGCCUUUGCUGUGAAUACAUUAGCAUGGAAUAAUAAGAUAGGACUGUAGUGCUAUUUUGUUGGUUUGCGUACUAUGGUAAUGAUUAAUAGGGAUAGUUGGGGGUAUUCAUAUUCAAUUGUCAGAGGUGAAAUUCUUGGAUUUAUGGAAGAUGAACUACUGCGAAAGCAUUUACCAAGGAUGUUUUCA
rnacentral:rRNA from 1 species